GACAUUUCCACAAACACAAGCUGUGCAAAGUCUUUGGAAUCGCUCUGCUCAGGUUCUUGAAUUUUCUUGAACAUUUUCUUCUGCCCAAUUUAUGGUUUUAUACAUCAAUUCAUAAAUUACCAAUCUUUUAACUUCUUGACGCCAUGAAUGCGAAUUUUCAAGAAAUUUUGGCCAGGAUCGCCAGAACAAUCCCUCCUCUCCGCAGCUCAACAAUUUCAGAGAUUUCUCCUACUCCUUCUGGUAAUUGGUCCCAAUUACUCCACGAUUUUCUUGGAUUUUUACCUUCAAAAAUGUAUUUGUCAUUUAAUAAUUAUUAUUAAUUGUCUUUGAAGUGCAUUUAGAUUCAAGAGGGAUGCGAAAGAAAAAGAAAGAGAAGAAUUCAAGAGCGACAGGCUGCAAAGCAGAAACACUGCAAUGCGAGACAGACUGCACAAAACUGCAAGUCUGCAAUGCUUAUAAUUGACAACUGAAAUUACACAAAAGCCCUUAAUAACGGGUGUAACGGGUGGUUAACGGGUUUCGCAGGUUCACCCAAAAUGACCCGUUAUUUAACGGGUGCUUAACGGGUUGACCCGUUAAUCACCCAACCCGUUAAACACUCACCCGAAUACUCAUUUUAACGGGUCGGAUCGGAUCGGGUUAACGGGUCAGAUUUGAAAUGCCAGGUGUAGUUACCAGUCGCCCGUAGAUCCGACGCUUAAAUCUCCAUGUUGCAUGAUACAUAACAUUCAACCAUCUCAACCAAUUUCUAUUAUUAGGCCCCCAAAUACAAAAGAAAAUACAGUUAACCCUACGAUAGUUGACAUUACGAUUGUCAACGUUUACUUUAUCACAACCUAACACUUGAUCCUGUGGCUUUUUUCUCAACACCUCGAAGAGGACCCAAUUUUGAUGAAAUAGAACCCAACACCUUUUCGAGUGGGACAUGUAAAUCUUAAAUAUACAUGUUUAAAUACUUGAAAUCACUAUUUAAUACAACAGUCUGCUAAUAUUCUUCUUCACUUAUAAGUAAAAAGUCUUAAAUUCAAAACUCGUGAAAAAUGAAUUCAAUACAAAAUUAAAUCAUUAGUGUAAAAUUUAUCGA
rnacentral:lncRNA from 1 species